CUCUCUCAACUCGGAAGCUACAGCUGCCUCCGGACGCUCUCAAGAUGGCGACCUCUCUGGGUUCCAACACCUACAACAGGCAGAACUGGGAGGAUGCGGACUUCCCCAUUCUGUGCCAGACAUGUCUUGGAGAAAACCCAUAUAUCCGAAUGACCAAAGAAAAGUAUGGGAAGGAAUGCAAAAUCUGUGCCAGGCCAUUCACAGUGUUUCACUGGUGCCCUGGAGUCCGCAUGCGUUUCAAGAAGACUGAAGUGUGCCAAACCUGCAGUAAAUUGAAGAAUGUCUGUCAGACCUGCCUCUUAGACCUAGAGUAUGGCCUGCCCAUCCAGGUCCGUGACGCAGGAUUGUCUUUUAAAGAUGACAUGCCAAAGUCAGAUGUCAACAAAGAGUACUAUACACAGAAUAUGGAGAGAGAGAUUUCUAACUCUGAUGGAACACGGCCAGUUGGCAUGCUGGGGAAAGCAACAUCUACCAGUGACAUGCUGCUCAAACUGGCCCAGACCACACCCUACUACAAAAGGAAUCGACCCCACAUUUGCUCCUUCUGGGUGAAAGGAGAGUGUAAGAGAGGAGAGGAAUGUCCAUACAGACAUGAGAAGCCUACAGAUCCAGAUGACCCCCUUGCUGAUCAGAAUAUUAAAGAUCGAUAUUACGGAAUCAAUGAUCCUGUAGCUGACAAGCCUCUAAAGCGGGCUUCAACAAUGCCUCGGCUGGAUCCACCAGAGGAUAAAACUAUCACCACACUAUAUGUUGGUGGUCUAGGUGAUACCAUUACUGAGACAGAUUUAAGAAAUCAUUUCUACCAGUUUGGAGAGAUCCAGACGAUCACUGUUGUGCAGAGACAGCAGUGUGCUUUCAUCCAGUUUGCCACAAGGCAAGCUGCAGAAGUGGCUGCUGAGAAGUCCUUUAAUAAGUUGAUUGUAAAUGGCCGCAGACUGAAUGUGAAAUGGGGAAGAUCCCAAGCAGCCAGAGGAAAAGAAAAAGAGAAAGACGGAACUACAGACUCUGGGAUCAAACUAGAACCUGUUCCAGGAUUGCCAGGAGCUCUUCCUCCUCCUCCUGUGGCAGAAGAAGAAGCCUCUGCCAACUACUUCAACUUGCCCCCAAGUGGUCCUCCAGCUGUGGUGAACAUUGCUCUGCCACCGCCCCCUGGUAUUGCUCCACCUCCUCCCCCAGGUUUUGGGCCACACAUGUUUCACCCAAUGGUACCACCCCCUCCUUUCAUGAGGGCUCCAGGACCAAUCCACCAUCCUUCUCAGGACCCUCAGAGGAUGGGAGCUCACGCUGGGAAACACAGCAGCCCCUAGCACCUUGUCACCACUCUGGGGCUCUGUGGAAGAAAGGGCACUUAAAACUCCCAGUAAAUCUUGGAAUAAAUAUAUUUGUCCUUCCCUUGUAGUUUCCAUGGUAGCUGAAUGUGCUCAGAUGUGGGCAUUCGGAGACUGACAGCCAUGCUUUCCUACACAUGUUCAAAGGAUCGAUGGACCAUAAAUAAGCUGCCGUUAACACAUCUGGUUACUGCUAUAACACGACUAAUAAAGCCUAAUGCCUGUUCCCCUUACCUGUGUGGGGGACAAGCAGAUGAGUGAAUUGGAAUGUCCAGCAGAGUUACCAUCCCAAUUAUAUGUUCAUUUUGUAUAUUUUUUGGGCGGGGGAAUAAUUGACCUGCGGUAAAAAAAACCUUUGACCAUU